GGGGGGGGCGAGCGUUGUUCGGAAUUACUGGGCGUAAAGGGCUCGUAGGCGGCCAACUAAGUCGGAUGUGAAAUCCCCAGGCUUAACCUGGGAACUGCAUCCGAUACUGGAUGGCUUGAAUUCGGGAGAGGGAUGCAGAAUUCCAGUUGUAGCGGUGAAAUGCGUAGAUAUCUGGAGGAAUACCGGUGGCGAAGGCGGCAUCCUGGACCGAGAUUGACGCUGAUGAGCGAAAGCUAGGGGAGCAAACGGGAUUAGAUACCCCGGUAGUCCUAGCCCUAAACGAUGAAUGCUUGGUGUGGCGGGUAUCGAUCCCUGCCGUGCCGAAGCUAACGCAUUAAGCAUUCCGCCUGGGGAGUACGGUCGCAAGGCUG
rnacentral:rRNA from 1 species